AACGAACGCUGGCGGCAUGCCUAACACAUGCAAGUCGAACGAACCCUUCGGGGUUAGUGGCGCACGGGUGCGUAACGCGUGGGAAUCUGCCCUUGGCUUCGGAAUAACAGUUAGAAAUGACUGCUAAUACCGGAUGAUGUCUUCGGACCAAAGAUUUAUCGGCCAGGGAUGAGCCCGCGUAGGAUUAGGUAGUUGGUGGGGUAAAGGCCUACCAAGCCGACGAUCCUUAGCUGGUCUGAGGGGAUGAUCAGCCACACUGGGACUGAGACACGGCCCAGACUCCUACGGGAGGCAGCAGUGGGGAAUAUUGGACAAUGGGCGCAAGCCUGAUCCAGCAAUGCCGCGUGAGUGAUGAAGGCCUUAGGGUCGUAAAGCUCUUUUACCCGGGAUGAUAAUGACAGUACCGGGAGAAUAAGCUCCAGCUAACUCCGUGCCAGCCGCCGCAGUAA
rnacentral:rRNA from 1 species